rnacentral:rRNA from 1 species
AACGUAGGAGACAAACGUUAUCCGGAGUUACUGGGCGUAAAGGGCGUGCAGGCGGUCGACUAAGUCUGGCGUGAAAGCUCUCGGCUAAACCGGGAGAGGUCGUUGGAUACUGGUUGACUAGAGGACGGUAGAGGCGUGUGGAAUUCCGGGUGUAGUGGUGAAAUGCGUAGAGAUCCGGAGGAACACCAGUGGCGAAGGCGGCCUGCUGGGCAGUUACUGACACUGAUGUGCGACAGCGUGGGGAGCAAACAGG